GUGAGGAAUAUUGCGCAAUGGAGGAAACUCUGACGCAGCCAUGCCGCGUGAGUGAAGAAGGCCCUAGGGUUGUAAAGCUCUUUCAGAUGCGAAGAUAAUGACGGUAACAUCAGAAGAAGCUCCGGCUAAAUUCGUGCCAGCAGCCGCGGUAAUACGAAUGGAGCGAGCGUUGUUCGGAAUCAUUGGGCGUAAAGCGUAUGUAGGCGGACUAGAAAGUCAGAAGUGAAAUCCCGAGGCUUAACCUCGGAAUUGCUUUUGAAACUCCUGGUCUCGAGUCCCGGAGGGGUUGACGGAAUUCCUAGUGUAGAGGUGAAAUUCGCAGAUAUUAGGAGGAACACCAGUGGCGUAGGCGGUCAACUGGACGGGUACUGACGCUGAGAUACGAAAGCGUGGGGAGCAAACAGGAUUAGAAACCCGAGUAGUCC
rnacentral:rRNA from 1 species